UACUACUUGAGCUCGGGGUUCAAUAAUCUCUCGAUUAACCGGUCUCCUUUCAUUCUCUUGGGUUUCUGCUUUCCUUGGGAGUUUCACGUUUAUUCGUUCUUUCUUAUCCUGAGAGGUCUACAUGUUACGGUUAAGCUUUCAUCACACUUUGACACUAAUGUAAUGUUUUCUUCCCCUUCUGUUCUUUUACAUGUAAUAAUGUCAUAAUGUGCACAACAGAGUCUAAAAUAUAAAGUUGAGGCAAUCUAUAUCAGAACAGAGCUUCCCCGCUAUUAUUUACGACCAUUUCUUUCAUCAUACUAUGGUUUAGUCUCUCUCUCUCUCUCCUUGUGUCUAUUCAGAAAGGACCAAAAAAGGAGGGGGAGUUGUGUUGGUUGAUCACGGGACAUGAGAGACCCCGACUCACGUGACCUUUCGGUUGGUUAAUUUCUGACUUAAGUCACUUUUAUAUAACAUUUUUUUUUUUGUAAACCACUUUUAUAUAAACAUGCUAAAUGCUUAAAGAAAAAAGAAUUAGAUGGAAGCACAUAUAUAGAAUCAAAUGCUGAGAUACUGCUACUCUUAAAGAAAAUAAUCUCAAAUACUCUCCCUCUAAAACGUAUUUUAUUUUGAUUUACUUUUUACUGCCAAUAAUUAUGAAAAAUCUUGUACAGAAAAAACUACACUCUAUGGCAAUUUUAUACAAAACUAGUUUUUGUUUAAAUUUAUAUUAUUAAAAAAAAAUAAACAAUCACAUCAACCAUAUAAUAAAAAAAUAGAUUUUUUCUUAUAUAUUAUAUUUUGAAUUUGGACCUGGUUCAAAUGCUCUCAGCCACACUCUACUACUUGAGCUCGGGGUUCAAUAAUCUCUCGAUUAACCGGUCUCCUUUCAUUCUCUUGGGUUUCUGCUUUCCUUGGGAGUUUCACGUUUAUUCGUUCUUUCUUAUCCUGAGAGGUCUACAUGUUACGGUUAAGCUUUCAUCACACUUUGACACUAAUGUAAUGUUUUCUUCCCCUUCUGUUCUUUUACAUGUAAUAAUGUCAUAAUGUGCACAACAGAGUCUAAAAUAUAAAGUUGAGGCAAUCUAUAUCAGAACAGAGCUUCCCCGCU
rnacentral:lncRNA from 1 species